rnacentral:misc_RNA from 1 species
CAGUGGGAAUCCUACGGGAGGCAGCAGUGGGACUCCUACGGGAGGCAGCAGUGGGACUCCUACGGGUGCCAGCAGUGGGACCCACUCCUACGGGAGGCAGCAGUGGGACCCACUCCUACGGGAGGCAGCAGUGGGGCUCCUACGGGAGGCAGCAGUGGGACUCCUACGGGAGGCAGCAGUGGGACUCCUACGGGAGGCAGCAGUGGGACUCCUACGGGAGGCAGCAGUGGGACUCCUACGGGAGGCAGCAGUGGGACAGUUGG